UCCCAGUUAUAUAAAUUUGAUGUGGAGAACACAGUAUUUACAUAUAUAAAUCUUCUUGGGUCUCCCCGAUUGUCCACUCCUAUAGGAGCAGGAGUUUGCCGGUGCCUGAGUGGUUUUAGAGAGCAGCCCUGGCUGAACUGAGCACUCUGAUGGGUGUGGGAGGGGAGAUCAUCUCUCUCUCAGGCUCUUUUCUUCUGGAAAAGGGGGAUACGGAGGAGGAGGUAGGGGAGCUUUUUCCUUUCCUGAUCAGUCUGCCCCUUGGUUAUAGGGUGGAGGUGGAGCAGAAGAUGGCGUUUACAAAGGCUCUGCUGCAGCCUCUCGGUUUGAGUCAGGGAGGACACUUUUCUUCUUCUCCACUAAUCUUUACAGAACAACUCUUCGUGUGAUACAGUGUUCUUUUGGAUAGAAACAUUCUCCAGCUUUUCUUCCCAUGUUAUAUCAUAUUGAGAAUAACUCAUCUAGUCAUUGCCAAGAGAGUCUUCUAUUUCUGCAGAAAAGAAGAUACGGGCAGGGAAAAGAAUCUUGCUGAUAUCCCAGCAGCUCCACAUCUACCCCAUCACCGUGUGCCACAGAAGAAGCUUGGCACUUCAGAAGCAGCAGAAAUAGAAUUAUAAGGAGUUGCAAGCCAGGCUCACAGCACAAAAAAAUUAGCUAAAGACUGAAUAUCAAAAUGCAGAGCUCUAAUGGAGGAGGGGCGGCUUCAGGAAAAUAAGCCCUAGGGCUGCCUCCUAAAUCUCCCACUGUCGAGGCUGUUGAGAUGCCACUUCCUUCCAUCAGACUUUUUUUUUUUUUUGUCAGUUAGUUUAAUACAUGUCCAUAUGUCCAUUGAAUGCUUAAAUUACAAAAUUAGGUACCAUUAACCAAAUGUGUGGGAUUUUAGGAAAGCUUUCAUUCAUCAAAAGAUAACCAAGCAUAUCAACUUUGCUUUCUAAAAUGCAUUUUAAGGGUUUGUAAAACAAGGCUAAUUCUAAAAUUA